rnacentral:lncRNA from 1 species
GGUCUCACUAAGAACAAGAUUUAAAGUCAGACGAGUUCCAAAGAUACUUCCUGAAGAGACUCUUGGAUUUUGCCUGUGACAGCCCUCCCCAGGACGAGGAAGGCAGCCUCCCCUUGGGACAGCACUCUACGGACUUCUCAGUGUUGGAAAGAGCUGGGACUCCUACAGGGAAUUCCUACUCUUCAUAUUUGUUCUCUGCUAAACCAGAGGAGACACAUCUUGCUCUAGAGUUCCCCAGAACCUGCUCUUCUGGGUCAGCCUCCUGCUGUCUUAUUCUUCCAUCUUUUCUCCACCUAUGCCCAAAGCACAACCAAGGUCACUUUGUUUCUUGAGCUGAGUUCACGCUGGAGCAUUCUUGACCCAGAGAGACACCAUUUUAUAAUGGAAGGCACUUCUUGAGAACCAGAGAGACCUCAUUUCUCAUGAUCUCACUGUGCAGGACUCAGUUUUUAAUACUACAAUGUGAAUUACGAAUCUCCAGGAGGAGAAUAUAAUAUGCGCUGUUUCCGAAGCUCAUCUGACUACAAACUGUGUUUUAAAGAAUGUCUGGCAAUGCAACAGAGCUUCUAUUUCCUGGCAGAUGGACCAUGAGCCUGGGCCAGAGAAUCUGGUGCUGAGCUGCUGCAGUCAGCUGAGCUGCUUACGUAACCUGAAGGCUCUCCUGGGAGGACCAUGCUGUGAAAGGCAGCUCUGGUUUGCUUCCCCUCAGAUAAUGUUUAUAUGGCCUUUUGGUCAGAGAAGAAGCAAAGAUAAUCCCCCUGACCCUCAGGUUGAGGAGACACAGAUCGGCCUUUGCUGAGGGUAGCACAGCAAAUGAGGAUGCAUCUCCCAGCAGGGUCAAAUGCAAACAAAAAUGCUGUGAGACGCAGGACAUCAGGGGCAUCCCAGGGCCUGAAUAUUCUUACUCUGACCAGAGCCGGCUCCGGGCAGCUGUCAGCCAUGCCUUAAAAAUCAGAAGUCUGCACACUUUUUCCGUAAAGGGCCAGGUAUUAAAUCUUUCAGGUUCAUGGGCCACAUGUGGUCUCAGAUGCAACUACCCAGCACUGCCAUUGUGGCAUGGAAGCAGCCAUAGAGACUUUGUAAAUGAAUGGGCACGGUGGCAUUCCAAUAAAACUUCAUUUACAAAAACAA